UGUUCAAUCCAUGGCUACCUUCCAUACUCC
rnacentral:piRNA from 2 species